AACGUAGGAGACAAACGUUAUCCGGAGUUACUGGGCGUAAAGGGCGCGUAGGCGGCCUUCUAAGUCAGACGUGAAAUCCCCGGGCUCAACCCGGGAACUGCGUCUGAGACUGGAAGGCUCGAAUCCGGGAGAGGGAUGCGGAAUUCCAGGUGUAGCGGUGAAAUGUGUAGAGAUCGGGAGGAACACCGGUGGCGAAGGCGGGUCUCUGGGCAUUUCCUGACGCUGAGGCGCGAAAGCGUGGGGAGCAAACGGG
rnacentral:rRNA from 1 species